CCUACGGGAGGCUGCAGUCGAGGAUCUUCGGCAAUGGGCGCAAGCCUGACCGAGCGACGCCGCGUGGGCGACGAAGGCCUUCGGGUUGUAAAGCCCUGUCGAGGGGGAGAAAAGCCGCAAGGCUUGAUCUAUCCCUGGAGGAAGCACGGGCUAAGUUCGUGCCAGCAGCCGCGGUAAGACGAACCGUGCGAACGUUGUUCGGAAUCACUGGGCUUAAAGGGCGCGUAGGCGGGUUGCCAAGUCUGUGGUGAAAUCCUCCGGCUCAACCGGAGAAC
rnacentral:rRNA from 1 species